rnacentral:lncRNA from 10 species
AGGGUGCCAGCCCUGCGUGCGAUGGUGCAGGGUCUGCUUACAGAACAAGGCACAGCAAGGAGGCAAGACACAAGCAAGAAAUGUGCUUGAUGUUACCCACUGCAGUCCUUCUUCCACUCUGGAGGAUUCUGAAGACUCAGAAGAGGGACAGGCAAUGGAUUCAGUCUAAACCCCAGGACCAGGACACUGCCUCAGCUUCGAAGCCUGGAUGCAAUGCUCCAGGGUAUAACCACUGCCCAGAAGCACAGCUAGUACAAGCUGCAGCCUCAAUCCAGGCAAGGAGCCAACUCCAACAGGUCAGGCUCCAAGGGAUGAAGACUGAAAACAUGAAUGUGUUGUGCCACUAACUCUAGCGUUUGCUUUUCCUUGUGUUUUUGCAUGCAUUGUAGACCUUGGCAUCAGCAUUUGGCUAGCUUUAAGACAGAAACUGAGAAGCCUUUUGUGUUUUAUGCGUCAACUUGACUGGGUCACAGCAUGCCCAAAUAUUUGGUUAAACACGAUUUCUAGGUGCAUCUGUGAGGAUUUUCUGGACGAGACUAAUAUUUGAAUUUGAAUCAGUGGACUAAGUAAGGCAGACUGCCCUCCCCAGUGUGGGUGGCCCUCAUCCUUCUCUCUGCCUGACACUCUUCUAGCUGGAACAUUUGUCUUCUCCUACCCUCGGACUCAGACUAUGACUGGAAUUGAUAUCAUUGACUCUCCUAGUUCUUCAGACUCAGAUUGCUCUCCCGGGACUUCUCAGCUUCCAAAUCACAUGAACCAAUUCAUUAUAGGAAAUUUUUUUAUAUAUCCUAUUAAUUCUGUUUCUCUGGAGAACCCUGAUUAAUACAGAUUUAUUUUCCUACACUCCAGUAACUCUCCACUACUCCCUCCCUCAACCCCUGUGUCUGAUGACCUACAGUUUUGAGCUUAGCCUUUCUAAAAUAGUGGGGAAAAAAAUGAAAAGAAAACAACUAGAAGUGGAAGUAAUUUGUCCUUCAUUAAGCCAGAUAUACACAUCCUGAUUCAAGCUUGAAAACAAUAUCACCUCCUUCGCUGAUAUGUAAGUACCUUUUUAUAAUUUAAAUUUUAAGUUAUGAUUAAUUAGAAACUUAAAAUGUAUAGUCUGUAUAUGCACUGGAUGUCCACAAAGUGACCCUUGGUUGCUAAAUCUUUGAGAAAGGCUGAGUAGACACUGAACGAAUGUAUAUCCAACUUACUUGUCAACUCCUCCAAGAACAUUCCUUACCCCCUGACCCAAGACAUGCUUUCUAUGAGCUCCAACAGUGCCCCUAGUCUUCAACAGCUACCACAUCUGUGCUCGUCACACUCUUGUCCUUCUCCUAGUCUCAACUGUGAGCCAUGGAUGGCAGAGGCCGGUUUUUACCCUUCAGGUCUCCAGUUAGGCCUGUGAUGGUUCUAGGGUUUUGUUUAGGCUGCGAGUCUGAUUGGGGCUAGGACAAAGGGUCAAAUUCAGGAUGAAAAUCAGCCUGGCCAAGAGCAGUGGAUACAUAGCCCCCAUCAUCCCACUUCUCAGAUGCUCCUAGAACUCCAGCCCGGGAUCCUUUAUCCUCUGUAUACUCCACCUUCUCCCCAUACAAGACCCUCUGCAGAGAGCAGGCACAAGGAGCAGAUAAAUGAUGGUCGA